UGAAGUUUGAAAACACUAUUCAUGUAGUCCAUAUCAACAGAAUUUAUGUAGGAAGCACAUUAUCGUAUAGUGUUUUUCAACCUACUAUGUAUUACAUUUGUGCUGACUAUACAAAUUGUCAAUGAACGGGUGUACUGUUAUUGUCACAUACAGUUACAAUUUAGCAGAAAAUUUCGAACAUGGGUAACACAUCAGUGAUGGAUUUGAACAAAAUAUUCUAUAUUGUGACUGUGUACUUUGGUAGGUCUUGCAGUGAAAUCAACAUCUCGUAUACGGUUUAUUAUUCAUUAUCGGUCGCUGUAGAAACAACAUCAAGCGAUUGAUGAAAAGGAAGAUUAUCAUUUGAUUCCCGGAUUCAAUUCGCUCGAAUCCGACGGAAAAUCGCAGGUGGGCAUCGAGGUUUGCAUCUGGACUUGGCUAAUAAUUUCUUUCCUGCUGCCAAUUCCUGCUUCAGGAAAAACUCCACCGGACAGAGCCUUGGAUCAACUGAUGCUAUCAAGCAAUGCUAAGCAAUAUUUCACCAGGUAUAUUAUCAUUUGAUUUGAUGCGAAAAUAAAAUAGAGUUUAAUGAAA